ACCGUUGUCUCCAUUCUCUCUUAACCGAUAUCAUCAUGGACCAAUCUUCUCUCCUCCCACCCAAUCAAUGGCGACGUCGACAACAAUUAACCCAUGACCGAUAAUGAGAUAAUUAGACCAGGCCAAUGGAAAUCGAGAUGAGAGUGAAAUCGAGAAUUCUUGGAUCGGUGUCAGGUUCCUUCCAUCUCCUGUCAGCAACGUUUUACAUAGAGUUUCACAUGAAACAGCCCCACAUUCCCAUUUAUGUUUUCUCUGCUUAAAAUUUUAGUCUUCAUCUCGACGCUACAAUAGUUUGGAGCCCUAUAAUCGAGUGUAAAUGUAAUCCUUAAACAUGUUUCAUUUGAUAUUGCUGAUUAGGUGAUACUUUGGUUGAUAAGUUAGGAGUUGAUCUCCCAUUAAUGUUCAAGGUAAUUCUUAUUUCAUCCUCAACGUUUAAAUCUGAGGUUUUUGAUAAGUGGUUCAACAUAUUUGUUUUCAAUUGUAAUUAGGAAGGGGACAUUUCUUUUGUUUUUGGGUAUGAUUACCUGCAAUCACUACAAUCAAUUGGUACUGAUUUCAUAUAAGGUUGCAAAAGACCUAAAAUCAAGUUUAAGAGAAGCAACAAUAUUGUUGAUGGAGAGAAAUAUAUCUUUUAAUUAUUUUUUUUAUAUCUUCUGUUUAUCUUUUAAAUCCUUACAACUCUUCUUAUAAUGCUUUAAUUUGGUCUAAUUAUGAAGAAGAAGAAUGUUGAAUGAUGUUUCUUACCUUAAGCAAGUCAAGGUCAGUACUUAUUAAUUCAUUUUACUUCAUUUCUAUGCAAAAAUAUGUAAAUACCCUUUUGGUAAUACCGUAAUAGAUCAAAAUAUGACCUGCAGUUGUCAUUGCUGGUGGAAAGCUUAUCAUUGCAAGCACCUAAUAUUUUCUAUCCUUCAAACUCUUUAUUUUUUUUCCUAUAUCAUUAAUCUUGACUUUCUUUUUUCUUUUGCAGUUUCUGCAUUUGGAAUUAGAUGGUUUUUCUCCUAUAUCAUUAAUUUUGACUUUCUUUUUUCUUUUGUAGUUUCUGCAUUUGGAAUUAGAUGGUCUGCUUUGAGACCACCACUUUUCACUCCUCACUGACCCCUUCACAAGAAUGGCUAUGACAAGGAGAUUGACUAGAAGCCGGAACAAUCGUGAUGCAUCUAGCAAUAAUAACUUCAAGAUUGAUGAUGUGGGACACAGAUGAUUAUAAUCCAAGUGUUGGGUAACAUAAAUACAUACUAAAUAAUGUGGGAAAGACAUACAAGAGCAAGUAGUCAGGUGGUUCACUUUUCAUAAGAUCCCUCAAAUUGAUUUUGUGAGUUUUUCUUCAUAAUACAGUGUUAUUUGAUAUUACAAAUUCUCUAACGUACUGAUAAUAAAAGACCAUUUGCUGCAUCUGGACUAGAAAUCACACCAUUGCCAAUUAAUAUUCUAUUUGUUUUUUAUUUUUUGGUUGAAAUAAAAAAAAUACAAAUUACCAUUAACCAAGAUUCUGUCUUUUGUUUACCUCCAUUAAGGUGAUGCAUGGUUAUGAGUAUAUUUUCUUGACAAAUUAAUAUAUUAACAACCAAAGGGCCUUUGGCCUAGAGAUAAGGAGUGACUCUCUCAAAGGAGAGGUCAUGGGUUCAAGUCUCACUAGGAGACUUAGGUGGUGUUUAGGAUUAGAUUAGGUGGUGUUUAGGAGUAGGAUAGUUUGCCGUUUCAAAAAAAAAUUUAAUAUAUUAACAUUUAGCAAAUGCUAACUACUACUCCUAUGGUCAGAUUGUAAUUUUGUUUUAGGUGUUGGAGAAUUAAAUAUAUGGCCAGUGUGUAAUAAUGUUAUUAUAGAAAAUGUCCAAGUGUUGUACAUUGUUAGAAAUUGUUCAUGUUUCACAAAAUUACUUAACAAUUUAUAUUUGUUUCAAUGUUUUACACCUACAACUUUUGUUGGUCCAGGUACCAAAUCCACUAUCCAAACAAGAUAAAAACAAUGAAUUUCACAUUUCAAGAAGCAAAAGAAAACAUUGACAACAAUAUGACAUAAAAGCAAACAAAGACCAAGAUGAACAAGAAAAACUGUUGGAGAUAUAGUAUUAGCUUAUUUGUACAAUCAUUUCUCUUUAAAACUUCUAUAUAUAUCCUUUGAUUAAAAUUUUAUGUCUUUAGUAUAUGUACAUUGAAAACUUAUGUAUUGAUUGGUUUUAUUAAUGUUAAUAUCAUUUGUUUU